rnacentral:lncRNA from 1 species
CAAUGUCACACUGGAAUAAUAAACAUAUUAACUAAGAAGUUCUGAUUUUUAUUGUGAGAAUCAGGAAUUUUCAUACCUACCUCUACGGCUAUGUUUUAAAUUUUUUAUGAUUCUAACUAACCAUCUCUCAAAAUUAUUCUGCAUUAAUGUGGGAGACAGAAGAAUGGCCACCCAAAGAUGCCUACUUCCUAAUAGCUGGAAUCUGGAAAUAUGUUGUGCUACAUGGCAAAUUAUGGAAAGAAACUAUGUUAUAUGAGAAUUAAGAUUGUAAAUGGGAUUAAGAUUACUGAUCAACUGAUCUUAAAAUAGGGAAAUUAUCCUGGAUUAUCCAGCUGGGGUCAAUGUAAUCAAAGAGUUCUCUAAAGUGAAUGUGGGAGGCAGAAGAUGCCUUAUCUUCAUCACUGUCAAGAGUGAUGAAAUAUAAGAAAGAUUCAGCCAGCCACCAUGGGCUUUGAUGAUGGAUGAGGUUCACAAGCUAAGGGAUGUCAAGAGUGUCUGGCUGCUGGAAUAGGCAAAAAGUUGAUUCUCUUCUAGUCUCCAGAAGGAACACAGCCCUCCUGAGACCUUUAUUUUGACCCAGUGUAACCCAGUGAGAACUCAAACUUCUAACAUGCAGAAUUACAAGGUAAUAAAUUUAUGUCAUUUUAAGCCACAAAAUUUGAAGCAAUUUAUUAUUUCAGCAGCAAUAAUAGACUAAUACAAUAUUUAUUCCUCAGUGUUUAACUAUACAGAUUAUUGGGUAUAUCAUACUCAGGACAUAAACCAGUUGUAUUGACUGGAAGAAAAACCUACAACAUGGACUCUACAAGCACCUAAUCAUGUUGUACCCCUUUUCUUCACAGGAAUUAAAUGUUGGAAGUCCUCUUGAUUAUCAAGACACACAAGUAACUCGGAAGAUCCAACAACAGGUCAUGUUUCACUUAGAUGUGAAUGGAGAAACUGAAGUGUCACUGAGGAGAUGGAAAUCCUGCCUAAUCUAAGAGGUGGCACAGCAGAGAGGAAAAAGGAGAAUGACCGAUUCUCAUCUGCCCAUGGCUGUGCAAGGGAGAACUACAGCACUGGGCUCUCUGCGCCUGUGCUCUGUAAGUACCAUUGACUCUUCCCUCUAGUUGUAGAGAUGUUUGUCAGUCAUAAGUCCUCACUUCUUGCUAUUUCCAAUCUCAUUCAUUUGACCCAUUGGCAUUUUGACGCAGGAUUCCACGCUCGGUGUUCAACAGCAUCCUGUGGCCAUAUAACCACGAGCUUCCCAGAAUAAAAGCGCCUGGAUUCUGCUGUGUUUGACAAGCACAGGACAUGGAAAUGGAAGGCCUCAGCUUAUAUUCCAGUUCAGCCACUUCCUCAUGUGACCUUUGCUAAAUCAUUGCAUGUCUCUGUAUCAUAUAUUGCUCCUUCAAUAAUAUCAGACAAAACCAAACAGAAACUCCAGAAUUAAAGUGCAGUGAGUAAAAAUUAGGAAUAUUUGCAUUUCCCAAAACAGAAUGAUGCUAAUAGGAGCAAAACAAAUAACUAUUAGUGUUUUUAAGGAACUAAGAAUAAUAAUAAAUACUGUUCACUUUUGAUGUCAAUAUUAACCAUACAUAUAAAAUAGCAACGAGAUGUUUAUUUUUCUCAUGUAUAUAUCUUAUCAACUCAAAUCAUUUCCUUUGACAUUGAUCCUCUCUCACAAUCUGGUCCUACUCACAUGAUUUUACUUAAUUUUUUGUCUUU